GAGGCAAAAACACUGACUGCAGUUGCUCUCAACUUUUCACCCACUGAAGCCAAUUUCAACAGACUGUUGAGAAACAGACGCUUUUCCUUCCCGUUUUUCCCUCUGCCCCAAGACACCCCGAGGAAAAAAUAAUUUGUUUUUUACAGUCCUUGAAACACCUCUCAAUUUGUGAAAUGUUAAAUAGCAAGCAAUUAACUGGCUUUUUAAAGAAUCACUUAGAGCAUGUGGGAGGAUCAGGAGUUGCAUACUUCUGUAGGUUAUCUGGAGUGCACACUUCAUCAUCAUAUAAUCCUUCAGGAUCCAGCAAGGUACCUGUGAACAGAAAGGGAAAUGUGACUGUCCCAGCAUGCAGUCUGUUACUGGCCUCUCAGAAAACUUCUUGGGACACAGGACCAAUUCGACAUGGGUCUUUGUAGUGUGUAAACAGAGAAUGCUGUUGCUCCAGCUUGUCCUCUGCAGGGAAAGAACAAGGCCAAGAAAAAGCACAUCAGCCAUACAUUGUUAAACCUGUGGAUAACUGUAUGUUCUGCCACAAAAGAAAAGCUACUGCAUCUGCACCAGCUGAUCUACCUCACUAUGUGAUUCCAGCCUUAUCCCCACUCUCUAACCAGCCCUUUACCUUGAGAACAUCUUCAUAAUAGCAAGGAGACUGAAAAAUGAAUUUUCCAGGGUAUCCUGGAGCUGUGGCAGAGGACUGGAGGACUGAGCUCCCUAAAAUUUGCCAGUUACCUCCUCCAGGGAGCCUGAAGGCAGAGGAAGAUGAGGAAAAUACAUCACUGUUGAUUUUACCCCACACCAGAGGAUUCUCCUAAACACACGAGACUGUAGCAGGGUCUCUAAAGAUAUGGCGAUCUGCUGGAUGGAUGCCGACUACUGCAGGAGCUUAGGCUAGCGGGAGAGUCAGCACCAAGAAACUAAUGGAAGAACCAAUCAAACUGUGUGCCCAAGUGCUAAUUCCUGUUCCUGGUAAAAGAUGAUGCCAAAGACUUGCUGUGACUCACACAGUUCAAACAUUCCUGUCUCACACAGAUGAUUUAGAGUAGAGGUAACUUCCAAGAACGAUUUAUUUUAUUCCUGUACAUUGAUUUCUUUGUAGCAGUUUUUUGGUUAGACCCAUUUUAAAAACAGGCAUCUUAUGCUAGUACAGGGAUAUGUAACAGCUGCUAAAGAAGAGGCAUUAGUUAAUAUAUUUGUAAUAAAUUAGUAAUUUAAUCUAAGCAUAUUAAAUAAAAUUUGAAAGUUUUAAAUGUUAGAGAUCAGCACAAAAUUCUUUUUGGUGCUAUGCAAUUCUUUUUAGCCACAAUAGCAUGUGAUUUUUUCAGAAUUCUAUUUCUCUGCACCUACCAUGUGACAACGACUGCUGCUUCAUGAGCUCAGAGAAUUAGUUAUUUGGGAAAGCUUCAUUAAGUUUAUAUGUGAGGGAAAGUGUUUGACUGUAAAUUGGUGCCAUGAAUGAAGGGCUCUCUGUUUUCUGAAAAGGAUAAAUCCCACAAUUUGAUCUCAGUCCUGUAUUUCAUCCUCCACAACAGUUGUAAUGUGUCCCACUAAUGAAGGAGAAAAAGGUUGGGAUUAAUAACUUCAAUUAUAUCAAGGUGAAGUAAACAUGGUAAAGUUUCAUGGGUAGGGUUGUCCUUUAAAAAAAAAAAAAAAAGAAAGAAAAAAGCCUCAGCCAGUUUACUGGACUCUGUCCAAUUCUUACAUUAACAUUUUAAAGCAGAAACUGAACAUGUGGAAAAUGUUUAGGUUACCCUCCUGAGUUAAACAGGACAGCUUUAGAGUUAUCUAAACAAAAUCAUGAGCAGCACUAGACGUUUCUUUUAACAUUUUGGGAUAACGUAGGUACGGGACAACUGAUCAAGGAAAAGAGUCUGAAAUCUCUUACUGGCCUCAGAAAGCAGCCAUCCUGCUUUUCUCUGUAAUCCUUAGGUAAAAAAGGUUCCCAAUAUGUUGUCCAACUGCAUAGCGUAAGUUACCCCUUCAUUCUCAGCCAUAAAGACAGCUUAAAUUACCCAAGCAAAAUUUAACUGCAUCUGUAAUACAAAAAAGAAUGAGAGAAGGUAAUUCAGGGGACCCUCAUUUUAUCGUAAAAAGCAGACACUCAGAGAGUAGCAAAUAAGUAGAAACUGCUUGGAAGCAGUUUUGCAAUUGGAGCUAGUGCUCUUAUACCAUCUGUUACAACCACUCCAGCUCUUCUGAGAACAAGGUUAGGUUUGCACUUAAAGCAAAGGUUGCUAGGUUUCCUUUAAAACAAUGAAUAAUAACAUGUUCUCUGCACAAUUACUGUACUUCCUGAGAACAGCAUUAAUUUUCAGAGAAUUUGAAAAGUAAAUCUGUUAAUAAGCUUAGGAAUUAAUGCUAAUUAAACACAGGUUCUUUCAGAAAUUUAGCAAAACCCACAAGACUUAUAAUUUUUUCUUUUUAAUUCCUACAGUCUUUGUGUUAGAGUAGUAUUAUCCGUUCAAACUACCCACAUCAGACUGUGGUUUUGCUUUUGCUUUAUGUUCAAAUACUGCGUUUUAAACAAGAAUUCUUAUUUUUGCUGAAAGUAUCUCUCUUAGAAGAUGCCAAAGAGUAGAAGCCUACUACCAAGAACACUACGAAGAAUAGCAUUGAUUCAGUGUAAUUCCACUUCUCCCAGUCUCAGUGGGAAGAAAACCACUCCAAAAGCUCUGCUCAGUAAAUAACCAGUUUGAGAGUACCUCUUUCAUUGACCUCCCUACCCUAACUUUGCAUUUACAUAUCUUGUUGGCUUAUGUUCACAUUACAGUUAUAGCCAUUACAUUUUAAGGCUAGAAGGGCAUAAUUUGCCAACAGAGCUGGACAAACUCUCCAACUCUAACUCAUCAGGUCAAGUUAAGGGUGAGUUUUCUGGUUUUACUACACUAGUGUCCAAAAUUUGAACAGAAAAAAAAAACAAAAAAAAACAAACAGUACAACUAAGCAUAUUGAUAUAUACUAAUACCCCUAUAUCUAAAGAUGAAUGAUUUUUGAAGCCUUCUAGUAAUUUACAAACUGGUGCCCUCACUGGUAACUUUUAAAAUUGAUUUGCCUGCAGUAUUAUAAUCCAGUUUCUGCAAGGGACAUGCAUUUUUUAACUCCCUUUAAAUUCAUUAAAAAUACUAUGAAUUGAAAUUAUGUACUUGUCAAACCAACAGCUGCAGAACACCUGAGAAAACUGCAUCGUGUUAUAUACAAGUACAUGCAAGCUAGCUUAUUAGCUAGAAUCACCAGCACAGGAUAGCACCUGUGUCAGUUACACUUUCUUCCUCUAUCUGGAGCAGAGCAGCAAUAAGAGACAACAGAGAAAUAAAACCUACAAAGCAGACUCAAGGGUUCUUUUCUUAGGCAUUUUAAAUUAAUGUGAAAUGCAACACUAGAACACAGAGUCACGGCAGAGUCUCCCAGGGGUUCUGACUGUCAAAGUAUGAAAAUGGAUCGGCUGAUUUAUAUAUUUGCUAACUUCUCCUCUGAGUCCUUACCAGCAGCAAAGAACAGUGGUUUAACACUUCAGACAAGAAAUUGUCACUUAGAUGCAGGUGACAUUUCCCCCCUCCCUAUGCACUAUUUUUUUCCGUGACUGCGUCUCUCUUAUGUCCCAAUGAGGGCCUCUUAUACUGGACACAAAAACACUGCUAGAGUUUGAAGAGAUCGAAGUGCUGAAUGUAAAUUAGUUCUCCACUAAUGCAGAAAACGGACUUACACAAUAGCUUCUCACAACUCUCAUCCUCAUGCCUUCAUCCUGAGCUGGAAAGCACCAGCCUAUCCAGAUGAGAACAGCCUGUGAUCUUUGUCAGGAAAAUGCCAGCAGCAGCACCUUUUGUGGCAGACAACUUCAGGAAGAAAACAGACCAAGACUAGCCAAAUUCCUUUGCACAGGUCUCCAGGUAGCUUAGGUAGCAUGAGGCUGUGUUAAAAGUCCCUAUAAUUUACUUACAUCUUCUUUCUUUAGCUGUGACACCCCAGGUGUUAAAACCACAAUCAAAUCCCAUUACCUUCUUGUGCUCUAGUUUCUCCUUCUAUUAAGCAGAUGUUGACCUUCCUUUAUUAUGCACUUUGAGACACACAAAUGAAAAGCUGUAUGUAAGAACUGAUUAUUGUUAUAGCUACUAAUAAUAACCCUUGAGCUGUCUAAGUCUCUCAGGUAAAAUAAUUCUGUGUAACUAAGCAAAUCUUUCAAAUCCUUCCAAAUCUCCACCUGAACUUUACAAUCUAGAUGGUGAAGGCAGUGGAGGAAAGAGGCAAUAGAAAAUUUCCAAUUCAAUCUAGAAAAAAAAAAUUUCCAAUACAAUCUAGAUGGUGAAGGCAGUGGAGGAAAGAGGCAAUAGAAAAUUUCCAAUUCACUUUAAACAGAAACAAAACCAAAAUGCAUGAAAUGCUUCACCCUGGCAGCAGGGAUCUGUCAUGUGACACAACUCACCCAGAACAGUUUUGCCUUUUGAUUCCAAAUAAUUUAACUUGCAUUAAAGGUUUAGUUCUGAGACCUUCAGUUUAUCUCAAUAGUUAAGUUUGUAGCAAGGAGACAAAUAGUGCUCUUUGAAUGAGAACUGAUUUCCUUCUCCAAACAUUCCUUGGCAUUUGGAUAUUGGGUCUUCCCCGUGGAUCUGAAAGAUUUCAAUAAAGGCUUCAUCCUCCCAGUGAGUGAAACCACAGUGAUUUUAUCUGUAUUGUUAGAAUUUGCAAGUCUUCUCCCUUCACUUGCUUUUCACACUUUUUUUUUUUUUUUACUUUUUUUUUUUAACGGCAUGGAAAGCAAUUGGCCCUUUACUCAGAGAUGGAAUCUAUGCAAGGGGAACAAGCUUCUAAAGCAAACUUCAAAAACAAAACUUAAGCGACAUGUUUCCAACUCCAAAAAUAGGAGCACUGUGCUUUUCACAGGAGUCAUAAACUUAAAAAGAAUUUGCACAGGACAGAGACACUUUCUUCCUAAGUCCACGGCAGCACUGGAUGCGAGGCCGUUAGGAGGACGCUUCUGCAAGGGUGUAUUAUUGCUGUCUUUGAAAUCAUGCGGAGAUAAACUCUAACGUCAGAUUGGAUUAUGUCGUAUGCACAGAAAGUAAAGCAAGAGCUGCCCUCAAUCAGUAAAAGGAAUGAUGUAAAACCAGAGAUAUAAGUACUAAUUAAGAUGUAAGUAGUACUAUGCCAUUCAAAUUGGCUAGAAAGACCCCUUCUAACCAGUUACUGUACGCUUUGUUACUUGCUGCUACUCCAGCAUAAGACCUGAAGAAUUCUGAAGUGAACAAAUUGAUUCUCAAUGACUUCAAAACCACACCAGGCUUUUUACUUACUAUAGCUUUUGUCACAGGACUCCACACGCAUGCAGUUACUAAUGAAGUAAUCAACCUUCAAACCUAUUUUGUUUCAAUGCUCAAAUUAAAUAGAUCAUUCCCACACUUUAAUGGUCUAAGAAAGAACUGAGUAUUGACCACUUAAUGCAGAAGCGAGACAAAGUCAUUUCAUUAUCAAAGUAGACUUCAAAUUAAAAACAUUUUAGGUAUAACAUGCAGUAUGUCAGAAUGACACAGACAUGAGGUAAAAGGGUCUUUUAGUUGGGCCAGAGUUCUGUAAUAUUUAAAGGAAUGUAGUCAUCUUUGAAUCUUCAUAUUAAUUGGUCCCUAUUCCCUGCUCAACUGUAACAUUAUUUAACAACUUGAAUCCAUAAUUAAGUUCAUCAUCCCAGUGGAAAUUUGAAAGGAGGUUUAAUUUUCUGCAAGAGAAAUGGAGACAUUGCUGUGUUCCUAGCAGGGUAACAAAUCAAUGACUCAGGAAUAGGCAGUUGAAAGCAGAUUGUUUUUAAUCUCUUAGUCCCUAAUAUACGCAUAUGCUGAAGGGCAGUCUUUGUGACCCUGGUAAUUUUUAUGUUGAACAACAUGCAUGUUCAUUUUUUUUGCAAACAGCACUUUAUGAUGAAAGAAUAAACUCCAGCUGUUAAUAAACACAUAAGAGUACACAUAAGUAUAGACAGAUGCAUUUUUUGAAAAACCUGUAUGCAAAUACGGAAUUUUUGUUUUUGCCAAAUAUAUUUGAAAUACUGGAGUAUUAUCAGACUGCAAGAUCUAAUAUUUGCUUCUUUAUGCAACGCAGUAUCAAUUUUCUCUUUGUUUACAAACAAGUAUGAAACACCAUUGAUUCUUAUUAAGGGUCCAUAUUUUUAAUGGUUAAUAAUAGCUCAUUCAGAGGACUAGUGACCAAUUUGCACUAGAAGAUACCUAAAAUUUCAGUUGAUAUAUUUUGCUAGCAUUAGGAAAAAAAAAUCCAUUUGUAAUGCAUUUCAUUAACUAAAAGCUGUGACAGAAAAAUCUGAAAUCCAGUAUCCUAGGAGAUUUUCAGAUCCAUGUAGGUUUGGGUCCACAGAUGUGGACCUCCGCACGAAGUUUUUGUUUGUAGUUAAUUCCAAAUUAAAAGGGCCCACAUUCCAGUUCAUGAAGAGCACUGCCAGAUUCUCCUGAGAAUUCAGCAUGAACAGCUAUUAGUCUUGGAAAAGCAAAUCAUUGCAUGCAGACUUGUAUUUCUGCUGUUUGUGAUUUACAGAAGUGUAACCCCAGGCUUCCUGUUCCCACUACCAUUAGCUAAUUUAAGUAAACUGUGUUAAUAAAGGGAAAAAACUCUGUGCUC